AGUAAAAGUCGUAACAAGGUCUCCGUCUGUGAACCUGCGGAGGGAUCAUUACAAGUGACCCCGGUUUACCACCGGGAUGUUCAUAACCCUUUGUUGUCCGACUCUGUUGCCUCCGGGGCGACCCUGCCUUCGGGCGGGGGCUCCGGGUGGACACUUCAAACUCUUGCGUAACUUUGCAGUCUGAGUAAACUUAAUUAAUAAAUUAAAACUUUUAACAACGGAUCUCUUGGUUCUGGCAUCGAUGAAGAACGCAGCGAAAUGCGAUAAGUAAUGUGAAUUGCAGAAUUCAGUGAAUCAUCGAAUCUUUGAACGCACAUUGCGCCCCCUGGCAUUCCGGGGGGCAUGCCUGUUCGAGCGUCAUUUCACCACUCAAGCCUCGCUUGGUAUUGGGCAACGCGGUCCGCCGCGUGCCUCAAAUCGACCGGCUGGGUCUUCUGUCCCCUAAGCGUUGUGGAAACUAUUCGCUAAAGGGUGUUCGGGAGGCUACGCCGUAAAACAACCCCAUUUCUAAGGUUGACCUCGGAUCAGGUAGGGAUACCCGCUGAACUUAAGCAUAUCAAUAAGCGGAGGA
rnacentral:rRNA from 1 species